rnacentral:rRNA from 1 species
GGGGGCUUGCCUUAGUUACGGCGAGUGAAGCGGCAAAAGCUCAAAUUUGAAAUCUGGUACCUUCGGUGCCCGAGUUGUAAUUUGGAGAGGGCAACUUUGGGGCCGUUCCUUGUCUAUGUUCCUUGGAACAGGACGUCAUAGAGGGUGAGAAUCCCGUGUGGCGAGGAGUGCGGUUCUUUGUAAAGUGCCUUCGAAGAGUCGAGUUGUUUGGGAAUGCAGCUCUAAGUGGGUGGUAAAUUCCAUCUAAAGCUAAAUAUUGGCGAGAGACCGAUAGCGAACAAGUACAGUGAUGGAAAGAUGAAAAGAACUUUGAAAAGAGAGUGAAAAAGUACGUGAAAUUGUUGAAAGGGAAGGGCAUUUGAUCAGACAUGGUGUUUUGUGCCCUCUGCUCCUUGUGGGUAGGGGAAUCUCGCAUUUCACUGGGCCAGCAUCAGUUUUGGUGGCAGGAUAAAUCCAUAGGAAUGUAGCUUGCCUCGGUAAGUAUUAUAGCCUGUGGGAAUACUGCCAGCUGGGACUGAGGACUGCGACGUAAGUCAAGGAUGCUGGCAUAAUGGUUAUAUGCCGCCCGUCUUGAACCACGGACCA